GAUGAACGCUAGCUACAGGCUUAACACAUGCAAGUCGAGGGGAAACGAUAUUGGAAGCUUGCUUCCGAUAGGCGUCGACCGGCGCACGGGUGAGUAACGCGUAUCCAACCUGCCCAUCACUUGGGGAUAACCUUGCGAAAGUAAGACUAAUACCCAAUGACGUCUCUAGAAGACAUCUUAAAGAGAUUAAAGAUUUAUCGGUGAUGGAUGGGGAUGCGUGUGAUUAGCUUGUUGGCGGGGUAACGGCCCACCCAGGCGACGAUCAGUAGGGGUUCUGAGAGGAAGGUCCCCCACAUUGGAACUGAGACACGGUCCAAACUCGUACGGGAGGCAGCAGUGAGGAAGAUUGGUCAAUGGACGAGAGUCUGAACCAGCCAAGUAGCGUGCAGGAUGACGGCCCUAUGGGUUGUAAACUGCUUUUAUAAGGGAAUAAAGUGAGAGUCGUGACUCUUUUUGCAUGUACCUUAUGAAUAAGGACCGGCUAAUUCCGUGCCAGCAGCCGCAGUAA
rnacentral:rRNA from 1 species